UCCACCGAUUGACUAAGGUUUCCAGAGGAAGGCUCGUCCGCUCUGGGUUAGUCGGGUCCUAAGCUGAGGCCGACAGGCGUAGGCGAUGGAUAACAGGUUGAUAUUCCUGUACCACCUAUAAUCGUUUUAAUCGAUGGGGGGACGCAGUAGGAUAGGCGAAGCGUGCGAUUGGAUUGCACGUCUAAGCAGUAAGGCUGAGUAUUAGGCAAAUCCGGUACUCGUUAAGGCUGAGCUGUGAUGGGGAGAAGACAUUGUGUCUUCGAGUCGUUGAUUUCACACUGCCGAGAAAAGCCUCUAGAUAGAAAAUAGGUGCCCGUACCGCAAACCGACACAGGUAGUCAAGAUGAGAAUUCUAAGGUGAGCGAGCGAACUCUCGUUAAGGAACUCGGCAAAAUGACCCCGUAACUUCGGGAGAAGGGGUGCUCUUUAGGGUUAACGCCCAGAAGAGCCGCAGUGAAUAGGCCCAAGCGACUGUUUAUCAAAAACACAGGUCUCUGCUAAACCGUAAGGUGAUGUAUAGGGGCUGACGCCUGCCCGGUGCUGGAAGGUUAAGAGGAGUGGUUAGCUUCUGCGAAGCUACGAAUCGAAGCCCCAGUAAACGGCGGCCGUAACUAUAACGGUCCUAAGGUAGCGAAAUUCCUUGUCGGGUAAGUUCCGACCCGCACGAAAGGCGUAACGAUUUGGGCACUGUCUCAACGAGAGACUCGGUGAAAUCAUAGUACCUGUGAAGAUGCAGGUUACCCGCGACAGGACGGAAAGACCCCGUGGAGCUUUACUGUAGCCUGAUAUUGAAAUUCGGCACAGCUUGUACAGGAUAGGUAGGAGCCUUUGAAACGUGAGCGCUAGCUUACGUGGAGGCGCUGGUGGGAUACUACCCUAGCUGUGUUGGCUUUCUAACCCGCACCACUUAUCGUGGUGGGAGACAGUGUCAGGCGGGCAGUUUGACUGGGGCGGUCGCCUCCUAAAAGGUAACGGAGGCGCUCAAAGGUU
rnacentral:rRNA from 1 species